rnacentral:tmRNA from 2 species
GGGGGUGUCACGGUUUCGACUGGGAAGUGAAGUAUUGAUUGCAUGCGGAGGGUAUCGGUUGGCCUCCUAAAAAAGCCGGUAAACAAUUAAGUGCCAACAAUAGCACUUUUGCUUCUGACGAAGAAGCAGAAUUUUUACUCGCUGCUUAAUCGCUGCUAGUAAACAGUAGUCUAAAACUGGACCGAGGGUUUUAGAGUCUACUGUCAUUCACUUGGUAUGACUAGUCUUCUUCUGCCUCAGAGAGGAUUAGCUCAAGAUUAAUUGGGGUGAAUUAGUUCCAAUGUUGUGUUCUGCAUGGGGGCUAAUUUAUUUUCAGAACACUAAGCAUGUAGUGGUCAAUAUGUAGGUUGCUCAGGACGAGAGUUCAAUUCUCUCCACCUCCAA